rnacentral:rRNA from 1 species
UGCCAGACUCCUACGGGAGGCAGCAGUGGGGAAUAUUGCACAAUGGGCGAAAGCCUGAUGCAGCAACGCCGCGUGAAGGAAGAAGGGUUUCGGCUCGUAAACUUCUAUCAGCAGGGAAGAAAAUGACGGUACCUGACUAAGAAGCCCCGGCUAACUACGUGCCAGCAGCCGCGGUAAUACGUAGGGGGCAAGCGUUAUCCGGAUUUACUGGGUGUAAAGGGAGCGUAGACGGUGAGACAAGUCUGAAGUGAAAGCCCGGGGCUCAACCCCGGGACUGCUUUGGAAACUGCCUGACUGGAGUGCUGGAGAGGCAAGCGGAAUUCCUAGUGUAGCGGUGAAAUGCGUAGAUAUUAGGAAGAACACCAGUGGCGAAGGCGGCUUGCUGGACAGUAACUGACGUUGAGGCUCGAAAGCGUGGGGAGCAAACAGGAUUAGAUACCCUGGUA